AUUGAACGCUGGCGGCAUGCCUUACACAUGCAAGUCGAACGGUAACGGGCCUUCGGGUGCCGACGAGUGGCGCACGGGUGAGUAAUACAUCGGAACGUGCCCGAUCGUGGGGGAUAACGAGGCGAAAGCUUUGCUAAUAGCGCAUACGAUCUACGGAUGAAAGCAGGGGACCGCAAGGCCUUGCGCGGACGGAGCGGGCGAUGGCAGAUGAGGUAGUUGGUGGGAUAAAAGCUUACCAAGCCGACGAUCUGUAGCUGGUCUGAGAGGAUGAUCAGCCACACUGGGACUGAGACACGGCCCAGACUCCUACGGGAGCCAGCAGUGGGGAAUUUUGGACAAUGGGCGCAAGCCUGAUCCAGCCAUGCCGCGUGCAGGAUGAAGGCCUUCGGGUUGUAAACUGCUUUUGUACGGAACGAAAAGCCUUCUUUUAAUACAGGAGGGUCAUGACGGUACCGUAAGAAUAAGCACCGGCUAACUACGUG
rnacentral:rRNA from 1 species